rnacentral:rRNA from 1 species
UACAGAGGGGGCAAGCGUUGUUCGGAAUUACUGGGCGUAAAGGGCGCGUAGGCGGCCUUCUAAGUCGAACGUGAAAUCCCCGGGCUCAACCCGGGAACUGCGUCCGAUACUGGAAGGCUUGAAUCCGGGAGAGGGAUGCGGAAUUCCAGGUGUAGCGGUGAAAUGCGUAGAUAUCUGGAGGAACACCAAUGGCGAAGGCAGCUCGCUGGGACGUUACUGACGCUGAGACGCGAAAGCGUGGGGAGCGAACAGG